rnacentral:rRNA from 1 species
UACGAAGGGGGCUAGCGUUGUUCGGAAUUACUGGGCGUAAAGAGCGCGCAGGCGGUCGUUCAAGUCGCGUGUGAAAGCCCCCGGCUCAACUGGGGAGGGUCACGCGAUACUGAUCGACUGGAAGGCAGGAGAGGGUAGUGGAAUUCCCGGUGUAGUGGUGAAAUGCGUAGAUAUCGGGAGGAACACCAGUGGCGAAGGCGACUACCUGGCCUGUUCUUGACGCUGAGGCGCGAAAGCUAGGGGAGCAAACGGG